rnacentral:rRNA from 1 species
UACGUAGGGUGCGAGCGUUACUCGGAAUUACUGGGCGUAAAGCGUGCGCAGGCGGUUUUGUAAGCCAGAUGUGAAAUCCCCGGGCUUAACCUGGGAACUGCAUUUGUGACUGUAGAGCUGGAGUACGGCAGAGGGGGAUGGAAUUCCGCGUGUAGCAGUGAAAUGCGUAGAUAUGCGGAGGAACACCGAUGGCGAAGGCAAUCCCCUGGGCCUGUACUGACGCUCAUGCACGAAAGCGUGGGGAGCAAACAGG